AUUUUGCCAUGCUGGGACUUAAUCUGAAAGAAAGACUGUAAAGAAACAGAGAAGAAGACAACAGCUGAGUUGAGACUGUGUUUGCUGGAGCUUUGAAGCACGAACAGGACACUGUGAAUGAAAAAGGACCAGUGAGAGAUGAAGCUGGACGAGUUUGACUGCGAGAAUAUAGGAUAUAAUUGGAUUGAAAAUUGAAACCUGAACUCAUGAAUUGUUUAGGGAUGUCCACGACAUCACAACAAAGAGGUAAACAUUAGAAAAGCAGGCCUGGAAGACAGUGAACGGACGGCGCUGACAAAAUUACCAAGUACGAAAAUCAGGUGCUGGUUGCUGUACAUGAAUCCUGAAAACAGGAAAGAAAUGAUGAGACUGGGAGACGUGUCGCAGCUGAGCUUUCAUCCCACUUCACACUUUGUCUUUUGCAUAUUUAAUAUUUUCAAAUCUUCCUCACAAAUUCAAAUAAAAAAAUCAUAAUAUUCGUCCAUCUAAAAGUUUUAUAGACAG
ensembl:lncRNA